rnacentral:rRNA from 1 species
AUUGAACGCUGGCGGCAGGCUUAACACAUGCAAGUCGAGCGAGCGGCGGACGGGUGAGUAAUGUCUGGGAAACUGCCUGAUGGAGGGGGAUAACUACUGGAAACGGUAGCUAACACCGCAUACCAUCAGAUGUGCCCAGAGGGGAGUAGCGAGGAGGGGGGGUAACGGCUCACCUAGGCGACGAGCCCUAGCUGGUCUGAGAGGAUGACCAGCAACACGGGAACUGAGACACGGUCCAGACUCCUACGGGAGGCAGCAGUGGGGAAUAUUGCACAAUGGGCGCAAGCCUGAUGGAGCAAUGCCGCGUGUGUGAAGAAGGCCUUCGGGUUGUAAAGCACUUUCAGCGAGGAGGCGUUACUCGCAGAAGAAGCACCGGCUAACUCCGUGCCAGCAGCCGCGGUAAUUC